AGCUCAUCUUUGACUAGGAAGUUUCUUAAAUUGAGUUGGAACACAACUCAGUUAUGACGUCAGGAUUGUCGUUAACACAAUUUGUUAAGUAGCUAUGGAAGUAGCAAGUUGAUUCUUGUCGUGAAAUGAAACGGAGGUUGACACACAAAUUAAUCACCAAAGCUGAAAAGAUUAGACUGGCAAAGACUCAACAAGCGAGUAAACACAUAAGAUUUUCUGAAUAUGAUUGAAAAAAAAAAAAGUUCACCUCUUAAUACUUCACAAGAUACUUGAGCUGUUCUUGGGAUAUUCACUUUUAUUAUUCACUGCAUAAUUAAUGUGUUUUUAAUUAAAAGAAAUAUCUUUGUUCCUCAACUUGUAAAUAAGACUUUUUUCUAGAGACAAAUACUAUGUAUACCACAAUUUUUUUCUUAAACAUUUGUUGAAAUUAUCUUAGAUGUCAAUGUCAGGUGAUUUAGUAAAUAAAUGUGUUUUGAACAUUAUUUGGA
rnacentral:sRNA from 1 species